rnacentral:rRNA from 1 species
UACGUAGGGGGCAAGCGUUGUCCGGAUUUAUUGGGCGUAAAGAGCGUGUAGGCGGCCAGGGAGGUCCGUUGUGAAAACUCGAGGCUCAACCUCGAGACGCCGAUGGAAACCCCCUGGCUAGAGUCCGGAAGAGGAGAGUGGAAUUCCUGGUGUAGCGGUGAAAUGCGCAGAUAUCAGGAAGAACACCCGUGGCUAAGGCAGUGGGCUGGGCCGGCACUGACGCUGAGGAGCGAAAGCGUGGGGAGCGAACAGG